CGCCAGGGGAUUAAAGGAAACAGUUGACACACAACAGACAGAGUUUCUUGUUUUAAAUAGAAUGUAUGCAUAACCAUGAAGGAUAUAUGAAUAUGCAACAAGUGUAUUGUUUUAAGGGUGAUUCCUUAGUUCACAAGUCAUGCUUUUCGUGACUGAGUGUCCGAGAGCAUCCGGACAUCCAUAAUUCUUUGCUUUUUAUUGUCUUGUAAUUGUCCUCGCUCUAAAGUUUAUUACUCUAAUUGUAUUACUAUUUUUAUAACCAUUUUAUUAUUACUAAACUUUUAAAAUUUUAAAAACCAAGUGAUUGGCAUUUUUCACAAUAGGAAUGAUAAAAUGUUAUGGUAGAAUAGAAAAAUAGAUGAACAGGGACGAGUCUGCAAUGAUAACUGAUCACAUAAUCAGGCCUCGUUCAAGGAGAGAGGCAUUAGUGAGAUCAUGUGAGAAACAGUCCCUCUGUCUCUCUUCAGAUCCAGUCCCACUCUUCAGUUGGAUCAGAGUUUCACUGGGAGAAAGGGGAGGGCAAGGGUGUGUUCUGGGAUUUGGAGGCCAGCCAGGAGUUUUGCUGAAUAAUUAUUUAAAAGGUCCUUUAUUCUCAUUCUGUUUCUAACUGAAAAAUAGUAUAAAGAAAUGACAUGGCCUUCCAUGCGUUGCUUGGUAAGAAAGGCCAAAAACCCCCUGCUCAGAAAUAAGUUACAGCAUCUCCAACAGACAAAAUCCUUGUUUAGAUGUGGUUUAUGUGCUAAUCAAGGGAUUUGCUGCACUCCCAAGUUCAAUACAGAGAAUGUACCCCAGCACCUGAGCUGCAGCACAGCAGAGUUGUGCUGUCCUGUGCUGCCCUACAGUGGUGAAACAGCUUUUCCUGGAACACUGCUCCGAGUCGGGAGAGCCCGGGAUAAUGUUCUUUUUGCUCUGCCAGCAGAAAGGAAAAAAGGCUUUUUUGGGAUAAACCACAUGGAUUGAAGCAGAGCACAAGGGACAGGUUUUCCACGUUUUCCACUGCAGGCAGAAGGACAGUGAGGCCAUCCCGAUGCCUGUGGUCGUUUUUUAUGAGGGACAAACUGGGAGUGAAGUGACAAGCUGAGGCUGGGAGCCAAUGGAAAUAUCCUUGAGAAAAAGCUUUUGGCUCAUCUCUAUUUGGUUAGCAGGCAAUUUCCAUCCCACAGAUGUGAGAAAUAAUAAUGAACUUGGAACAGACAGAGUGAUUAACCAGUCAGAGCUUCCUAAGAAAGUACCAGAUCUAAAUGUAAUCCAUCUCAAACCAAGAAAGAAAAAAUACUGAGAGUCUCGUAAGAAACAUCUCUACACCUCCUGUAUCAGCUAUUGGGUGUAAGACAAGUUCUUUGAAGGUGAUUUCAGAGUAACUAUUAUAAUAACUUAACAGAAGGUUCAGAAAAACUUCAAACUGGAGAAAAAGCGAGUCCAGGACUUAACAUUGCAAUAAAACUGAAUGGGAAAACCACAAGUCUGAGACUUCAUGAGGCUUAGGAGGAGAUCCUGGUUCUUUACAGAAAGUUCACCUAAACACACUUUGCAUGACGAGUUUUAUAUAGGUAGGAGAAUCUUCCUUCCCACAACCAAAAUUUGCUGUGCAUCUCCUGGGCAGGACAUUGGGAUCUGCAGCCCGGAUAAUUUCAUUGUACCAGAGCUCAUGGCCUGAAGCACUCCUAGCCUCAGUAAAGCGUUUUCAGAGCAGUUCCUUAACCGGAUAACCCUGGCCUUUUGGGAUUGAUUCAUUCUCUGACCUUGAAAAUUUGUAUGAGGAUCCCAGACUGGGUCACUCACCUGGGGAAUGAAGAAUUUUCCCCCUAAAUUUCUUUUUCAGUAUCCAAGGUAAUGGAAUUUGAACUUUGAAGUUGUCUCCUUGCUUUCUUUCAUAACUGCUCUAUUUUCUUAUCAACCACACCAUUACAAGAGUGAGGGGGGUGAGGACAGGAGAAAGCAGCUGAGGUUUGGGUCAUGCUGCAGGACAGAGCAACUGGCUGUUCAGUGUCCCAGUUUUAAAUCACAAACAGGUUCACAAAAGCUGCUGCUGGUGGCUGCUCUGGGCUUCCACACUGCCUUACACAGACAAACCUCUGCAGCCCAGCAGAGCUUUGCCCUGUGAGAAACAGAACUCAGGGUUAGCAGCAAAAUUCUCACAAUCCAUUACUUCAUUUUGGAUGUGCCUUCAAACAGUAAGAGAACAAAGAUUAAAACUACUGAGAUAUUCAUCAGCCCUCACACCCCCCUCAGGACACAUCUCCAUGGCUCCACCUCAGCACCAGUCUGAUUCUCAUUAAUACUUUGAGUUCUUCCACAGGAUUUAGUUCUAUCACCCAACCCCUAAUUUGUCUUUUUGUGGAAGCUCUUCUGAUCCUGCCAACAGCAAACUGAAAAUGUAGCAAAAAAAGAACUGGAAUGUGCCCCCCUGAUGUGGCAAUUCCUAACCCUGAUACAGCUGCUCGGCCCUCUGCCAGCACUCUGGCAUUUCAGUUGCAAGAAUGAUACAGUUCCAAAGUCACAUCAAAUACCAGAAAACUACAGAUAGAAACAUUGUACUCCACUAUUAAUAAUUCACAUAAAAUUCACAGCCUAAAACAAUGGUUUGCAUGACAGAACAACAGAACUGAGAGAAUUCCCAACAUUACAGCCUCUGUCCUAGGCUUAUCCUUCUCCAAACUUGAUUAGUAGUAAAUUUAAAUAAUUAAUUAGCCAACUCAUUCAGUGAAAUGACUGGGUAAAUUAAAGUGAAGAGAUAAAUUCACAUUUUAAUUUUGAAUUUGCUUACAUUUGUCUGCUGGUACCCCAGCAUUAAAAAGCAUAUUACACAAAAAUCCUUACUGUCACCAUCUUAUCCCUCAAAAAUUUAUCCUUCUCCGUAUGUGGGACAAUGGUCAAAGGUUUUAUUUUGUUCUGUCAUUCAGUAAUUUUGAGUCAAACUUCCUAAGUGAAAAACAAAAUUAGGAAAAUUUGUAAGUUUGUUUUUUGGUGGAUUUUUAAUUAUGUAUUACAUAUUUGGUCAGUUAUCCAUGUUACAGAGGUAUCAAUGCUGUUGUUACCCUGGGGAAUUCCCUGUUUUCCAAGAGACCAGACUAAGUUUAUAGGACACAGAAGUCAGACAAAAACUUCCACCUUAUUAUUUUUGUGUUUAAUGCAGUGAGAGAUCUUAUUUGCCUUCCCACCUCCUCCCAUGUUAUUUUUCCAGGUCAGAUUGUGCUUUAUACUGCACCCAUUUUGCUCAGCUCAGUACACUGAAAGUAACCAGGAUAAAAAGAAGUUUGAGCUCUUAAUGAGAACCAAGGAUCAAAACAAUUAAUUCCAAGGCCAAUACUUCUGGCUCAAAUUUUAGCAGUCUGUGCACUACAGCAAAAUUCUGAAGCAGUUUUACCUACCCUGACACGCAUCCACUCACAGGACUGAGUAUGACCAGGAUUAAAAUAGGCUCACUCUUGGAAUUUGUCUUGUCAGUCACCAGAGGGACUUUUCAGUGUCAGGCUUUCAUCAGAGCUUCAGAAAUCCCCUUUGUAGUUUAUUUUAUUUACAAAGACACUUCAAAGUUUGUCAUAGAACAGGAAGAUUUUUUUUCCCAGAUGAAUUUUCAGAGAUAGCAAGCUGAGGAAGAAGGGCACAGUUUGGUUUUGGACUGCAAACAGACGUUUGCUUAUAAAUAUUUUUACUGUUAUACAAACCCAACAUGUAUUUUAGAGAUGAGGACCUGCUCCUGUGCGAGAUUUCCACUGAUAGUAAUCUAUGGCCCCGAUCCUGCUCAUUAAAGUCAGUAGGAAUUUUAACAUCUGCUUCCAUGGAAGAGGUCUUAGGCGUGCCAGCAUUGUUAGGAAUACACACAGCACAUCAGGUACAGCUGGGGAAAGAAGAGAACUUACUCUCUUCCACAAUGAGUCACAUAAUUUUAUAACUUAGAACAACUUUACCACUCUUAAGACAUUUGUAUAGCACCAAUCACCAAGAGCAUUGUCACUAAGGCACUGGACUGGUACUCAGCUGUCACGGGCUCUGCCUCCAGGUCUAGGGUCAAUCUUCUAUGUUUAUGUCUUUUGUUUUUACUGGCACAUAACUUCUGACAUUGGAAAAUAAGAUAAAUAAUACAAAACAUCCUCCGUCAUUUACAGGAACAACACAGCACGACGAAUUACAAGGUGCUCAAGUUCUGAAACCAUGAACAUUAAUAAAUCUGUGCAUAGAUUUACUGGCAGGUGGAAAUUACCCUGCAGGUAUCAAUUCUGUGCAGCACAGUGGAGCAGUGUUAGCUUCCCUUCCUCUGCAGUUAGGACAUGCCCUCAGUUAAAUCCUGCCCUGAUGCCACGAAUCAAAAGUUUUUAGAUAAAUGAAGAAAAGCCCUCAAGGACUCCUGUCUAUGACAGCUGAUCCAGGAUGCCUUCCCAGGCUUUUGCAUCAAAGUCUGCUCCUAUCAACUUGCAGAGCUCCAGUUUCAGACUCUGAGAGCAGUUUUUGAUGCUUUCAGAGGCAGCUGAAUAAUUUUUUAGUCUGUAGUGGAUUUAUCUCUCCACAUUAUUGAAAAAGAAAAAAAUCUUUAGGAGUUAUCCCUACUCUGCUGCACCACACUGAAUGUGUGCCCUGAUGCACAAAUUACUAAAAGCUCUUGGGUUGAAAUAAGUUACUGCAAAUGCACAGUAGCUGAUUUUGAAACCACAACAUCUCUACAAUUUAUUAUUAUUUUUACAAAAUACCCAAAGUGAUCAGACCAUAUUGUAGGUUACUGGCUUGCCGAAGGUUGUUUUAAAAUCAAAACCAUUUCUGAGUUACAGAAGUGCCAAAAACAAUCUUAAACCAGGUUUGUUUGUUGUUUUUUGUUGUUUUCUUUUUAAACCAACCCCCAUCCAACAAAACAGUUGUAUAACUUAAAACAGAAACAAGAGUUUGUGUUGGAAACUGUUGAAAAACCAACCCACCAAAAUCACGCUUGAGCAGAAGCCUUGUAUGGCAAAGAUUCAGCUUAGGGCAGUUUAGUGCCAACCUGCCAACCCUCCAUAGGUUUACAAUGGAAAUACUGACACAACCUCAACUACAGUGAUGCAAAUGUGCCCUAAAAACACUGUAUUUGCUUUUAUUAAUAAAAGUGGUAGUGUUUACAUUUGCAGGUAUCUUACACUUCAGCAUCACGAUGAAUACUGAGUAGAAUGAGUUAAGUUUUGGCUGUAAGGUCAGAAGUUUCCAAACAGAUGAAUGAGACAGAAGUGACAGUCUUCAAUCAUGAAAACAAGAAGUUCAAAUAAAUAAAUAAAACAAAACUAAGAAAUAUGGGUAAGCAUUAGGUUGGAAUGGUUCAAUUAACUGCAAAUUAUGGCCACUAAAUUAGAGACAGAAGAAAACACAGUUACUUAUUAAAUAGCAAGCAUUAAAGCUUUAUGGUUUUGUAUUAAAAAAAAAAAAAAAAAAAAAA